rnacentral:rRNA from 1 species
AGAGUUUGAUCCUGGCUCAGAACGAACGCUGGCGGUAUGCUUAACACAUGCAAGUCGAACGCGAAAAGUCCUUCGGGGCUGAGUAGAGUGGCGCACGGGUGAGUAACACGUAGAUAACCUGCCCUUUAGUCUGGGACAACCUUCUGAAAAGGGGGCUAAUACCGGAUAAUACUUUCAGACGAGUGUUUGUAAGUUUAAAGAUUUAUCGCUGAAGGAUGGGUCUGCGCACCAUUAGCUAGUUGGAGAGGUAACGGCUCACCAAGGCGACGAUGGUUAGCGGGUCUGAGAGGAUGGUCCGCCACACUGGAACUGAGACACGGUCCAGACUCCUACGGGAGGCAGCAGUGGGGAAUUUUGCGCAAUGGGCGUAAGCCUGACGCAGCAAUACCGCGUGAGUGAAGAAGGCCCUUGGGUCGUAAAGCUCUUUUUUCAGGGAAGAUAAUGACGGUACCUGAAGAAUAAGCGCCGGCUAACUCCGUGCCAGCAGCCGCGGUAAUACGGAGGGCGCGAGCGUUGUUCGGAUUUACUGGGCGUAAAGGGCGCGUAGGCGGCCUAACAAGCUAAGGGUGAAAUCCCGGGGCUCAACUCCGGAACUGUUCUUAGAACUGUUAAGCUAGAGAUAGUUAGAGGCGGGUGGAAUUCCUGGUGUAGAGGUGAAAUUCGUAGAUAUCAGGAGGAACACCGGAGGCGAAGGCGACCCGCUGGAACUAUUCUGACGCUGAGGCGCGAAAGCGUGGGUAGCGAACGGGAUUAGAUACCCCGGUAGUCCACGCUGUAAACGAUGAAUACCAGCUGUUUGGAAAAUCGACCUUCCAAGUGGCGCAGCUAACGCGAUGAGUAUUCCGCCUGGGGAUUACGGUCGCAAGACUAAAACUCAAAGGAAUUGACGGGGGCCCGCACAAGCGGUGGAGCAUGUGGUUUAAUUCGACGCAACGCGAAGAACCUUACCUGGGUUUGACAUCCCCUGGCCGUCACAGAGAUGUGAUUUUCUCUUCGGAGACAGGGAGACAGGUGCUGCAUGGCUGUCGUCAGCUCGUGUCGUGAGAUGUUGGGUUAAGUCCCGCAACGAGCGCAACCCUUGUCCUUAGUUGCCAGCGAUUCGGUCGGGAACUCUAAGGAGACUGCCGGUGUUAAGCCGGAGGAAGGUGGGGAUGACGUCAAGUCCUCAUGGCCUUUAUAUCCAGGGCUACACACGUGCUACAAUGGUGACUACAAAGAGCAGCGAAAUCGCGAGAUGGAGCUAAUCUCAAAAAAGUCAUCUCAGUUCGGAUUGCAGUCUGCAACUCGGCUGCAUGAAGUUGGAAUCGCUAGUAAUCGUAGAUCAGCGUGCUACGGUGAAUACGUUCCCGGGCCUUGUACACACCGCCCGUCACACCAUGGGAGUUGAUAUUAGCAGAAUACAUUGAGCUAACUUUCGGGAGGCAGGUGUAGAAGCUAGUGUUGAUGACUGGGGUGAAGUCGUAACAAGGUA